UUUUUGAUAAUAAUUUAAAGUAGGGCCUGCCCACUGAAUAUAUUUUAAAGGGCCGCAGUAUUUUGACUGUGCAAAGGUAGCAUAAUCAUUAGUUUUUUAAUUGAAAGCUAGUAUGAAUGGUUUGAUGAGAAGGAGACUUUCUAAACUUUAUUAGUUAAAAAUUUUAUUUUUAAGUUAAAAAGCUUAAAUUUUUUUAAAAGACGAGAAGACCCUAUAGAGUUUAAUUUACAUUAAAUUUUAAAUUUUUAGUAUUUUAAUACUUAUAAUUUAUAUUAAAUUUGAUUGGGGUGAUAAAAAAAUUAAAUAAACUUUUUUAAUUUAAUACAUUAAUUUAUGAGUAAUUGAUCCAUAAAAAUGAUUAUAAGAAUAAAUUACCUUAGGGAUAACAGCGUAAUUUUUUUUUAGAGUUCAAAUCGAAAGAAAAGAUUGCGACCUCGAUGUUGGAUUAAAGUUAAAAUUAGGUGUAGAAGCUUAGUUAUUUGGUCUGUUCGACCAUUUAAACUUUACA
rnacentral:rRNA from 1 species